rnacentral:rRNA from 1 species
UUGCGAACGGGUGAGUAACGCGUAGGUAACCUGCCUCUUAGCGGGGGAUAACUAUUGGAAACGAUAGCCAAUACCGCAUAAAAGUCGACAUUGCAUGAUGUUGACUUGAAAGGUGCAACUGCAUCACUAAGAGAUGGACCUGCGUUGUAUUAGCUAGUUGGUGAGGUAACGGCUCACCAAGGCGACGAUACAUAGCCGACCUGAGAGGGUGAUCGGCCACACUGGGACUGAGACACGGCCCAGACUCCUACGGGAGGCAGCAGUAGGGAAUCUUCGGCAAUGGGGGCAACCCUGAUCGAGCAACGCCGCGUGAGUGAAGAAGGUUUUCGGAUCGUAAAGCUCUGUUGUAAGAGAAGAACGAGUGUGAGAGUGGAAAGUUCACGCUGUGACGGUAUCUUACCAGAAAGGGACGGCUAACUACGUGCCAGCAGCCGCGGUAAUACGUAGGUCCCGAGCGUUAUCCGGAUUUAUUGGGCGUAAAGCGAGCGCAGGCGGUUAGAUAGGUCUGAAGUUAAAGGCUGUGGCUUAACCAUAGUACGCUUUGGAAACUGUUUAACUUGAGUGCAGAAGGGGAGAGUGGAAUU